rnacentral:lncRNA from 1 species
GCCUUAGCCUCCCUGAGGGCUGGGAUUACAGGAAUGUGCCACUACAACUAGCUCAAUUCACUUUUUUUUUUUUUUUUAAUGGUACCAGGGAUCGAACCCAGGACCUGGUUCAUGCAAGGUUGGUGCGGCGCCACUGAGCUAAAUCCCCAGGCCCUCAAUUCACUUUCUUUAGCAGAGCUACUAAUAAAGUCACUCUGCCCACCCUUCUCCUCCCAAUCCAACCUUCUCCAGAGGAGCUUCCUCCUUCUCCAGAGCUGGAGUCUCCUAGACCUAAAAGGGUGAGUACAGCACUGAGAGGGAGAAUGGCUUUCUGCAUGGAUCUGCAAUCAGCCAGCACCAGCAACAGGACUGUCAGGGCCACUUCCGAAAAAGACAGUAGAAAAUCUGCAAAAGACACAGGUAUGCACUUU